rnacentral:rRNA from 1 species
GGAUGAACGCUGGCGGCGUGCCUAAUACAUGCAAGUCGAGCGAACAGAUAAGGAGCUUGCUCCUUUGAAGUUAGCGGCGGACGGGUGAGUAACACGUGGGUAACCUACCUAUAAGACUGGGAUAACUUCGGGAAACCGGAGCUAAUACCGGAUAACAUUUAGAACCGCAUGGUUCUAAAGUGAAAGAUGGUUUUGCUAUCACUUAUAGAUGGACCCGCGCCGUAUUAGCUAGUUGGUAAGGUAACGGCUUACCAAGGCGACGAUACGUAGCCGACCUGAGAGGGUGAUCGGCCACACUGGAACUGAGACACGGUCCAGACUCCUACGGGAGGCAGCAGUAGGGAAUCUUCCGCAAUGGGCGAAAGCCUGACGGAGCAACGCCGCGUGAGUGAUGAAGGGUUUCGGCUCGUAAAACUCUGUUAUUAGGGAAGAACAAAUGUGUAAGUAACUGUGCACAUCUUGACGGUACCUAAUCAGAAGGCCACGGCUAACUACGUGCCAGCAGCCGCGGUAAUACG